UUACGGUCAGAUCACGUUGAAACACCGUUUCCAGUACGAUCACUGAAGUUAAGUAUCGUUAAACUUGGUCAGUACCUAGAUGGGUGUCCGGUUGGAAAUACCAGGUGUUGUAAG